GGCAUAACGAGGGUUUAACUGUCUCCUUCCCCCAGUCAAUGAAAUUGAUCUGCCCGUGCAGAAGCGGACAUAAAAACAUAAGACGAGAAGACCCUAUGGAGCUUUAGGCCAAGGACCAAUCAUGUUAAGAGACUACAAAACCAAAAAGAACAAAAAAGUCAACAAACCAAAUGCAACCUCGUCCAAGUGCCUUCGGUUGGGGCGACCACGGGGAAAAAAGAAACCCCCACAUGGAAUGGAAAUUAUUUCCUUAAACCAAGAAAAACAAUUCUAAGCAACAGAACAUCUGACCAAUAUAUGACCCAGGAAAACACAUCCUGAUCAAUGAACCAAGUUACCCUAGGGGAUAACAGCGCAAUCCUUUCCCAGAGCCCAUAUCGACGAAAGGGUUUACGACCUCGGAUGUUGGAUCAGGGACAUCCUAAUGGUGCAGCCGCUAUUAAGGGUUCGUUUGUUCAACGAUUAACAGUCCU
rnacentral:rRNA from 1 species